GUGGGGAAUAUUGCACAAUGGGGGAAACCCUGAUGCAGCGACGCCGCGUGAGUGAAGAAGUAUUUCGGUAUGUAAAGCUCUAUCAGCAGGGAAGAUAAUGACGGUACCUGACUAAGAAGCACCGGCUAAAUACGUGCCAGCAGCCGCGGUAAUACGUAUGGUGCAAGCGUUAUCCGGAUUUACUGGGUGUAAAGGGUGCGUAGGUGGCAAGGCAAGUCUGAAGUGAAAAUCCGGGGCUCAACCCCGGAACUGCUUUGGAAACUGUUUAGCUAGAGUACAGGAGAGGUAAGUGGAAUUCCUAGUGUAGCGGUGAAAUGCGUAGAUAUUAGGAGGAACACCAGUGGCGAAGGCGACUUACUGGACUGGUACUGACACUGAGGCACGAAAGCGUGGGGAGCAAACAGGAUUAGAUACCCUUGUAGUCC
rnacentral:rRNA from 1 species